rnacentral:lncRNA from 1 species
GGAGGAGGAGGGAGGAAGAAGAAGAAGAAGAAGAGGAGGAGGAAGAGGAAGAGGAGGAAGAGGGGGAAAAGAAGGAGGAGAAGGAGGAGGAGGAGAAGAAGGAGAAGGAGGAGAAGGAAAAGGAGGAGAAGAAGGGGAGGAGGAAGAGGAGUCUAGGAGUCUGACAGAACAUAAUGAUUAAAACACCAGUGGAAGAGUCAGACUAACCAGGGCCCAAGCCCCAGCUCUGUGUUCAGUUCCCUCCAUUCUGUAAAAUGGGUCUGAUCAGAGUACAAGCUCAUGGAGUGGCUGACAUGGUUAACUGAGCCCCUGUGGAUUAAGUGCUUAGCACAGAAUCUGACACACUAUGAAUACUGAUUAACUGUGUUGUGGUGAAGAACCUGGAAAAUCAGAGCCCUGGAGAGGAACAAAGAAAGAAAAUCAUUUGGGAGAUUGGAGCAGAUUCAUGGGACACAGAGAGGGAGGCUCCUGUUCUGGAGUGAGUCGCAGGGGAGGCCUGGAUCACGCUUACCACCAACAGUGGUAUUUGCAAGUCCCCAUCAUGGCCUCUAUAUUCUUUGCAGAUAUCAGUCUUAUACCAGUCUCUGUCCAGAAGCUUAGAGUCUAAUAAUAAAUCUGAUUAAAACAAAACACCUCCUCUGACCAUGCCACUCACAGGAUUCACUUGGAAUUAAUUUAUCUAAUGGGUUAAUAUACUUACAUCAGCUUUUGCUAGCAGGAUUAGUGCCUGGAAAUCCAAUGCUAGUGUUUCCUGCUAGCUGUAAAUGGAAAUGAGAAUCAAUUUUUUUUCAGGGGGGGAUUACCAGGGAUUGAUCUCAGGGGCACUUGACCACUGAGCCACACCCCCAGCCCUGUUUUGUAUUUUAUUUAGAGACAAGGUCUCACUGAGUUGCUUAGCACCUCGCUUUUGCUGAGGUUGGCUUUGAACUCACGAUCCUCCUGCCUCAGCCUUCUGAACUGCUGGGAUUAUAGGUGUGUACCACCACACCCUGCGAGAAUCAAUAUUUAAAAAUUUUUUAUUCUAAUUUGUUAUACAUAACAGCAGAAUGCUUUACAAUUCAUAUUAUACACAUAUCUCUGGAGAAUCAAUAUUUUUGCUGUAAGUUUCUUCUACAAAAAUUUCUCAGGGGCUGGGGAUAUAGCUCACUUGGUAGAGUGCUUGCCUCACAUGCACAAGGCCCUGGGUUCCAUCCCUAGGACCACACACACACACACACACACACACACACAGACAGAGUAAAAAAAUUUUUUUUCAAUGUAUAAUUUGAUAAACAAAAUGUAUAAUCUAUUGCAAUAUUUUAGUAAUAUAAGUGAACUUUAUACACUCUCAACUGUAUCUUUCAUUAUUUUUUUUUAAAGGGGAAAGAUUAGGGGACGGGGUUGUGGCUCAGUGUUAGAGUACUUGCCUAGCAUGCGUGAGGCACUGGGUUCAAUCCCUAGCACCACAUAAAAAUAAAAACAAAUAAAAUAAAGGUAUUGUGUCCAUCUACAACUAAAAAAAAAUUUAAAAAGAGGAGUAACAUUCCAUUAUGUAUAUAUGCCACAUGAUUCAUGGUGGGAUAGGGAA